rnacentral:rRNA from 1 species
UACGGAGGGUGCGAGCGUUGUUCGGAAUCACUGGGCGUAAAGCGCGUGUAGGCGGCCUUCUAAGUCCGAUGUGAAAGCCCGGGGCUCACCCCCGGAAGUGCAUUGGAUACUGGGAGGCUGGAGUACCGGAGAGGAGGGUGGAAUUCCUGGUGUAGCGGUGAAAUGCGCAGAUAUCAGGAAGAACACCUAUGGCGAAGGCAGCACUCUGGGACGGUACUGACGCUGAGACGCGAAAGCGUGGGGAGCGAACAGG